CCUACGGGAGGCAGCAGUGAGGAAUAUUGGACAAUGGGCGCAAGCCUGAUCCAGCCAUGCCGCGUGCAGGAUGACGGUCCUAUGGAUUGUAAACUGCUUUUGUACAGGAAGAAACACUGGUUCGUGAACCAGCUUGACGGUACUGUAAGAAUAAGGAUCGGCUAACUCCGUGCCAGCAGCCGCGGUAAUACGGAGGAUCCAAGCGUUAUCCGGAAUCAUUGGGUUUAAAGGGUCCGUAGGCGGUUUAAUAAGUCAGUGGUGAAAGCCCAUCGCUCAACGGUGGAACGGCCAUUGAUACUGUUAGACUUGAAUUAUUAGGAAGUAACUAGAAUAUGUAGUGUAGCGGUGAAAUGCUUAGAGAUUACAUGGAAUACCAAUUGCGAAGGCAGGUUACUACUAAUAUAUUGACGCUGAUGGACGAAAGCGUGGGUAGCGAACAGGAUUAGAUACCCUGGUAGUCCACGCCGUAAACGAUGGAUACUAGCUGUUGGGAGCAAUCUCAGUGGCUAAGCGAAAGUGAUAAGUAUCCACCUGGGGAAGUACGUUGCAAGAAGUUAGAAGUACGAAGAAGUUAGAGGCGNGAGAGNGCGACGGACGACGACGAGGAGGAGG
rnacentral:rRNA from 1 species